rnacentral:rRNA from 1 species
UACGAAGGGGGCUAGCGUUGCUCGGAAUCACUGGGCGUAAAGCGCACGUAGGCGGAUCUUUAAGUCAGGGGUGAAAUCCUGGAGCUCAACUCCAGAACUGCCUUUGAUACUGGCAAUCUCGAGUCCGGGAGAGGUGAGUGGAACUGCGAGUGUAGAGGUGAAAUGCGUAGAUAUCGUCAGGAACGCCGAUGGUGAAGACAGGUGACUGGGCUCGAUCUGACACUGAGGCACGAAAGCGUGGGGAGCGAACGGG